CAACCGGGGGAUUAGGGUUCGAUUCCGGAGAGGGAGCCUGAUAAACGGCUACCACUUCUACGGAAGGCAGCAGGCGCGAAAAUUAUCCAAUCCUGACUCAGGGAGGUAGUGAAAUAAAUAAUGAACUGGGAUUAUUUUAUCCUGGGAUUACAAUGGGCUUGAUUUGCAAACUUGAUUAGCGAGGAACAAUUGGAGGGCAAGUCUGGUGCCAGCAGCCGCGGUAAUUCCAGCUCCAAUAGUGUAUAUUAACGUUCCUGCAGUUAUUCGAUGCUCGUAGUUGGAUUUCUGGGGGUGGAGACAGGAGGGUGGCUAUGGCCACCGCCAGUCUUUUCCCUCGUCCGCCUGUUAACGUUGACUGAGAUUGAGUUCUCAGCAGCGGGCUCAGGCACUUUGAUAUUAUUUACCCUUUUUUGUAAAUAUGUUACUCAAUUUUGCAGGAUACUAAUCAUGUACACUUGAGUCAACUUACUUAUUCUUUUUGAGCAAAUUAUAGUGUUUCAGGCAGGCGUGCGCCGGAAUACAUUAGCAUGGAAUAAUCUUACGGACCGUGUGUGCUGCUCCGGCAGCAUCUCCUUAUUUGUUGGUUUCUUUAAGGACACGGAAUGAUUAAUAGGGAUAGUUGAGGUUUUAUAUCUCACCAGGGGAGGCAUUAGUAUUUAAUUUCCAGAGGUGAAAUUCUUUGAAAUUUGUAAAGACUAACUUAUGCGAAAGCAUUUUUCUUUUCUUUUACUGCCAAGAAUGUUUUUAUUUUAUUUGUUUAUCGAACAGAACGAAAGUUAGGGGAUCAAAGACGAUCAGAUACCGUCCUAGUCUUAACCAUAAACGUUGCCGACUAGGGAUCGGAGGGCGUGCACAUUCCGCCUUCGGCACCUUACGAGAAAUCAUAAGUAUUUUGGGUUCUGGGGGUAGUAUGGUCGCAAGGCUGAAACUUAAAGGAAUUGACGGAAGGGCACCACCAGGAGUGGAGCUUGCGGCUCAAUUUGACUCAACACGGGAAAUCUUACCAGGUCCAGACAUAGGAAGGAAAU
rnacentral:rRNA from 1 species